rnacentral:misc_RNA from 1 species
AAAGUCGUAACAAGGUUUCCGUAGGUGAACCUGCGGAAGGAUCAUUAUUGAAUAACUUGGUGUUGAGCUGGCCCUAUCGGGCAUGUGCUCGCAUCAUAUUAUUUAUCUAUCUCUUGUGCACCUUUUGUAGUCUUUGAAGUUUUCGCAGUCAAUGCGGUUUGGGGCUUGGGCUUUUGCAGUCCUUUCCCUGUUUGCUUCAAAGGCUAUGUUUUAUACACACUAUUGAAGUUACAGAAUGUCUCUUAUUGACCUUUGAGUCAGUAAAUCAAUACAACUUUCAGCAACGGAUCUCUUGGCUCUC